GACGAACGCUGGCGGCGUGCUUAACACAUGCAAGUCGAACGGAAAGGCCCUGCUUUUGUGGGGUGCUCGAGUGGCGAACGGGUGAGUAACACGUGAGUAACCUGCCCUUGACUUUGGGAUAACUUCAGGAAACUGGGGCUAAUACCGGAUAGGAGCUCCUGCUGCAUGGUGGGGGUUGGAAAGUUUCGGCGGUUGGGGAUGGACUCGCGGCUUAUCAGCUUGUUGGUGGGGUAGUGGCUUACCAAGGCUUUGACGGGUAGCCGGCCUGAGAGGGUGACCGGCCACAUUGGGACUGAGAUACGGCCCAGACUCCUACGGGAGGCAGCAGUGGGGAAUAUUGCACAAUGGGCGGAAGCCUGAUGCAGCAACGCCGCGUGCGGGAUGACGGUCUUCGGGUUGUAAACCGCUUUCGCCUGUGACGAAGCGUGAGUGACGGUAAUGGGUAAAGAAGCACCGGCUAACUACGU
rnacentral:rRNA from 1 species